GGAAUUUGCAGCUUAAUUUUACUCAACCUAAGACAACCCUCCUGGGCCAAACAACUGCAGGAUUGACAGGUUAAUAACUCUUUCUCAAUUCCACGAGUGGUGGCAAAGGUAAAGGUUACCUUCUCGGGGACACACGGAUUCC
rnacentral:rRNA from 1 species